GAUGAACGCUGGCGGCGUGCAUAACACAUUCAAGUCGAACGGUGAGGGGAUUUCGGUCCCUGAACAGUGGCGGACGGUGAGUAACGCGUGAGCAAUCUGCCUGGCAUAGAGGGAUAACACAGGGAAACUUGUGCUAAUACCACAUGACGUAUACGGAUCGCAUGUUUGUAUACCAAAGGGAAACCGAUGUCAGAUGAGCUCGCGUUGGAUUAGACAGUUGGCAGGGUAAACGGGCCUACCAAAUCAACGAUCCAUAGCCGAACUGAGAGGUUGAACGGCCACAUUGGGACUGAGAUACGGCCCAGACUCCUACGGGAGGCAGCAGUGGGGAAUAUUGGGCAAUGGGCGCAAGCCUGACCCAGCAACGCCGCGUGAAGGAAGAAGGCUUUCGGGUUGUAAACUUCUUUUACCAGGGACGAAGACGUGACGGUACCUGGAGAAAAAGCCACGGCUAACUACGUG
rnacentral:rRNA from 1 species